rnacentral:pre_miRNA from 1 species
AUCACUUGGGGAUCUUGUUAAGAUGCAGAUUCUGAUUCAGUAGGCCUGGGGUGGAGCCUGGGAAUCUGCAUUUCUAACAAGCUCCCAGGCAAUUCUGC